rnacentral:tRNA from 1 species
GUGUAGCAAAAUGGUUAUGCGACGGUCUGUAGAGCCGUUUAUGGGGGUUCGAAUCCCUUCA